rnacentral:lncRNA from 1 species
UCAUACACUUGUUCAAGGACACCAGGAUUCCUUUCUAUCGUCUGCAAAAUAGUACUUAAGGGACUUUAAUUCCCCUACUUCCGGCUCUCGGGACAUAAUGGUUUAAAAUUCCUGGCAAUUGAACCUGGACCCACACUUUCUUUUUCCUCCUCAUCCUGUGUCAUCGCUCUCCUUGCUGUCAGCACCCUGGCAGGCAUCUGGCAACACAGCUGGAACCAGAGUAUGCCCGGGUGCCACAACUCCUGCCUCGCCUGGCUGAUCCUUUAGAAUCCAAAGGCGUUCAUUUUUAGAGAGGAGCAGUGAAGGCUUACGGUAUCAGCAGUGCUACCUGCUUCGUGAUCUGAGCAAAUAACAGGGCGAAGGCUCAACUCUAACUCGGUGCCGUGAUGAAUUACUCAGUGCCUGCUGCGGGCCGGGGGCUGGAGAUCCCCUGCGAGGAAGUUUUUAGCUGGGAACUUUCUGUAAGCUUUCCAGGAAUGAGCCGGAGAGGGAACACUCAAGUUGGGGCUUGCUGAUAAUACACCAGUCACACAGCUGCUCCAUUCCCACAUAAAUUUAGUCCUUGGCUGGUCACACUGACACAUUUCCCUGAAGGUGGCCAGAGGGCUCAUGCAGCCAGCCGGUUAUGAAACACCGAGAAGUAUAAAAGCCUGCUAGCCCUCUGGGCUGUUUUUCCCCUGACAGAGAUGGGGGCUGUGAGCAGGCUUGUCCCCUUGGCCCUUUUCAUCGUGCCGUGUUUGGCAGAGUUCAACUGGACCCAGUCUGAAGACCGCAGCACUUCACACCGGAAACACACGAGAGAAGGCCUCUGGCAAGAACCUGUAUCUGCUCAGGAAAGGAGGGGACUGUACACUUUCUGGGUUUACUGAGAUCAAACAGGAUGAAUUCUCUCAAUUUACCUCAAACGCUAAGUCUAAAGUAAUAAUCCCAACAAGGAAAAGGCCGGUUCUGAUGUUUACUUUCUACCUACUGCUACGCUUUAUUGAAACAGAUAAUAACGGCCCCGGUGCAUACGUAUGCAUGCCAAACACAAUGCCUCAGCUGUUAUCCGAGCGUAAACACCACCCGAUCAGUGAUCUGAAUGAAAGGCUUUUAAGUCUUAGGUAUCUAAUUUUCCAUGAACAAUCAAUUAGAAAAAGAAAAAUCAUCAAAUACUCUAAGCAUUCUUUUUCAUACUCCUAAGACCAUAAAAUAAGCCCUAUUAUAAAUAAAAAAUGUACUUCUAUCA